rnacentral:rRNA from 1 species
UAGGGAAUCUUCGGCAAUGGGGGCAACCCUGACCGAGCAACGCCGCGUGAGUGAAGAAGGUUUUCGGAUCGUAAAGCUCUGUUGUAAGAGAAGAACGUGUGUGAGAGUGGAAAGUUCACACAGUGACGGUAACUUACCAGAAAGGGACGGCUAACUACGUGCCAGCAGCCGCGGUAAUACGUAGGUCCCGAGCGUUGUCCGGAUUUAUUGGGCGUAAAGCGAGCGCAGGCGGUUCAAUAAGUCUGAAGUUAAAGGCAGUGGCUUAACCAUUGUUCGCUUUGGAAACUGUUAAACUUGAGUGCAGAAGGGGAGAGUGGAAUUCCAUGUGUAGCGGUGAAAUGCGUAGAUAUAUGGAGGAACACCGGUGGCGAAAGCGGCUCUCUGGUCUGUAACUGACGCUGAGGCUCGAAAGCGUGGGGAGCAAACAGG